GCUGGGUUAGCUCACUCGGUUAAGGCGCCGCAUUUGCGCUACUGUGGCGCGGGUUAGAUCCCCGUUCAUACCA